AGACAGCAGCCGCCGCGGUAAUACGUAGGGUGCGAGCGUUAAUCGGAAUUACUGGGCGUAAAGCGUGCGCAGGCGGUUUUGUAAGACAGAGGUGAAAUCCCCGGGCUCAACCUGGGAACUGCCUUUGUGACUGCAAAGCUGGAGUGCGGCAGAGGGGGAUGGAAUUCCGCGUGUAGCAGUGAAAUGCGUAGAUAUCGUGAGGAAGACCAGUGGCGAAGGCGAUUCUCUGGGCAGUUCCUGACACUGAGGCACGAAGGCCAGGGGAGCAAACGGGAUUAGAUACCCCCGUAGUCCCUGUCUCUUAUAC
rnacentral:rRNA from 1 species